rnacentral:rRNA from 1 species
UACUCCUACGGGAGGCAGCAGUGGGGAAUUUUGGACAAUGGGCGAAAGCCUGAUCCAGCCAUACCGCGUGAGUGAAGAAGGCCUUCGGGUUGUAAAGCUCUUUCAGCCGGAAAGAAAUUGCUUCUAUUAAUACUAGGAGUAGAUGACGGUACCGGAAGAAGGAGCACCGGCUAACUACGUGCCAGCAGCCGCGGUAAU